GCGGUGGUAUACCACCACCAAACAUGGACAACUGAAGACAUACAACCCUCUAGUGAUGUCGUAUAGUCAUCCUCCCAUGCGGAGGUGGCACUAUGAUGCUGGCUCGAGACUGAGUCAACACCGUCUAGCAACCUCGUCUUUGCAAUCGGUUAUGGUUUCCAGCCAAACCCCAAACACCCCCUUAUAUGGCAAUAUCAUUGUAACACAGACACACAUAUAAUGAUAAAUGUAUAACAACGAAGAAAAAAGAAAAGGACCUAAAAGAGAGCUUGAGGACAGAGAAUAUGAUAUAUGGUUGUUGCUUCUCCUCUCUUGUGAACUGCUUGUAUAUAUUAGAUGGCAACUAAGAGGAGGGGUGAAUUAGUUGUAUGGAGAUGGUCAAUUUUUCUGCUUUGAUAUCAGAAUCUUAUGCACCAAAAACAUUGUAGAAAGAUUACCAAAUAAUAACUCCAAAACAAAAGAGAUAGAGUAGCAAGAAGAGAGAAAGAACACAAUUUUUUACAUUGAUUCACCUUCAUAUCCACUAAAGGCUAUCCAGUAUUCUUGCAACAUAAGAUAUUUCUUUACUAGAUAUCUUGAGUUAUAAUUACAAUUUCUGUCCUCGAGACUCCUUCUACCUUACACACUAACAAAUGUCUAACACCCUUGGAAAUCAACCUUUCCAAGUACUCUCUUACCCCUUAUCACCACACCCAUGUGAUGACAAGUUUUGAAGAAUAAAUUCUAUGGCAGGAUUGCCUUUAUAAGAUAUAACAAUU
rnacentral:lncRNA from 1 species